rnacentral:rRNA from 1 species
GACGAACCGUGCGAACGUUAUUCGGAAUCACUGGGCUUAAAGCGCGUGUAGGCGGGCCGCCGCGUCGGCUGCUGAAAUCCCCCGGCUCAACCGGGGAACGGGCACCGAUACGGGCGGCCUCGAGGGGGGUAGGGGGGCCUGGAACUUCCGGUGGAGCGGUGAAAUGCGCAGAUAUCAGGAAGAACACCCGUGGCUAAGGCGGCUCUCUAGUACGGUACUGACGCUGAGACGCGAAAGCGUGGGGAGCGAACAGG